UAUUAUUUUUGCAGGAAGAUGAACUUCUGUUCAACAGCCCAUCCUUCAGUAGAAUGUCUUUCAGGAGCUUUCGGCACAUAAGAGGGAAGAGAUCCCAUCCAGGUGCAUGAUAAAGACUCAAGUAUUCAGUUAUGCUGGAAGAAGGCUGAAGAUGACAUACCAGAAGCUAUGCAAGAGAGAUGAUACACAUUAUUUUAAUUUUAUGAGGCUGUAGAUCUUGGGAAAAGGAGCAAUUUAUAAUGCCACUCUUUACAAUAAUUAAGAAGUAUGUGGUCUUCUACUGUGGAAGGAACAAAUUAAAUACUGUGGACUCUAAAGAACAGGAAGUAGUUGGGAGUAUUGUGCAGCAAAGAUAUUUUGACGUUGGGAAGAGCUGAUAUCCUGAAACAGACAACUAUUCGAGAUGGCUAUGGAGUCUCUUCCUCUGGAGAUUUUUAAAAACAAGGUAAGCAGACAUCUCCCAGGAUUGCUAACGGUGUUUUUGUCCCUCCUCAGCGCUUUGUGGUGGACUUAGUUGACCUCUUGAGGUCAUCUCCUAGCAUUCUGUAUUUUCAAGUACAGUUUUAGAAAACUGUGUUAUUUUGUCCUUAUUUAUGCUAUGGGGCAAGUGUGCUCUGUGGUACGUUCUGUCUAGUGUAGAGCUUGUCCUCUCGUUAUCCAGACUGGGGAAACUGCUGAAGUCCUUGGCACCUCUUCUGCC
rnacentral:lncRNA from 1 species